rnacentral:rRNA from 1 species
AUUGAACGCUGGCGGCAUGCCUUACACAUGCAAGUCGAACGGCAGCACGGACUUCGGUCUGGUGGCGAGUGGCGAACGGGUGAGUAAUGUAUCGGAACGUACCUUUCAGUGGGGGAUAACGUAGCGAAAGUUACGCUAAUACCGCAUAUUCUGUGAGCAGGAAAGCAGGGGAUCGCAAGACCUUGCGCUGAUUGAGCGGCCGAUAUCAGAUUAGCUAGUUGGUGGUGUAAAGGCCUACCAAGGCUACGAUCUGUAGCGGGUCUGAGAGGAUGAUCCGCCACACUGGAACUGAGACACGGUCCAGACUCCUACGGAGGCAGCAGUGGGGAAUUUUGGACAAUGGGGGNAACCCUGAUCCAGCCAUGCCGCGUGAGUGAAGAAGGCCU